AUUCCAGCUCCAAUAGCGUAUAUUAAAGUUGUUGCAGUUAAAAAGCUCGUAGUUGGAUUUCUGGCAGGAGUGACUGACCACAAACUCUGUUUGUGAGUUGUGUCAUUCUGGCCAUCCUUGGUAAGAUCCUUUUUGGCAUUAAGUUGUCGGGAAGGGGAUGACCAUCGUUUACUGUGAAAAAAUUAGAGUGUUUAAAGCAGGCUUAUGCCGUUGAAUAUAUUAGCAUGGAAUAAUAAUCUAGGACUUCGGUCAUAUUUUGUUGGUUUCUGUAACUGAAGUAACGAUUGAUAGGGAUAGUUGGGGGUGCUAGUAUUGAGCGGCCAGAGGUGGAAUUCUUGGAUUCGCUCAAGACUAACUUAUGCGAAAGCAUUCACCAAGGAUGUCUUCAUUA
rnacentral:rRNA from 1 species